CCCUACAUGAAUUGCAUAAUAGAGAUACAAGCAAGAAUCAUUAAGUUCUAUGAAAAACAUAAGCAUUGACAAAGCACUCGUUACUAUGAUUUGCAUGAAACUUAUGCCAAGAAUUUACUUAACGUGAUUGUGAUUAGCAACCUUCACUACUUGUGAAUAUAAGUUCAUAACGAUUAGGUGAAACUCCCUUAUAUUCUAGCGUUAAAUUCAUGCAUGAAAAUUAAGCGUGCACUCUCAACCAACAUACACAAAUCAUUUUUUUCUACGAUCGGAUAAGUAAAUUGAAUUCACAACUUAUGAAUCACAACUGGA
rnacentral:lncRNA from 1 species